rnacentral:rRNA from 1 species
UACAUGUGGGGCAAGCGUUGUCCGGAUUUACUGGGCGUAAAGAGCGCGCAGGCGGUCGUGCAAGUCGCGUGUGAAAGCCCCCGGCUCAACUGGGGAGGGUCACGCGAUACUGCUCGACUCGAAGGCAGGAGAGGGAAGUGGAAUUCCCGGUGUAGUGGUGAAAUGCGUAGAUAUCGGGAGGAACACCAGUGGCGAAGGCGACUUCCUGGCCUGUUCUUGACGCUGAGGCGCGAAAGCUAGGGUAGCAAACGGG